UGAAGCUGCCAGGAAAAAAUAAUGGACGGUGUGAUUUGGCUUCUCGGUUUUGUGCUCUGUGUACUUUGCUCCAUUGCUGGAAUAAUUGGCAACGGAAUGACGAUCUGCAUAUUUAUUUUAAUCAAUAAGUUCAGAAACCCAAUUGGAUUGCACGUUUUGGGAUUGACCAUUUUUGACUUCAUAGCAAGUUCUAUAAUCAUUCCUUUGAAGGCCUCGUUUUUCUUUUAUGAAGCGCAUUGGAAACUCGGUAAAUUUAUGUGCUACCUGGAUAAGUUUUUUGCGUACGGUGCCUCUUCAAUUUCCAUCAUGUUCAUUACUUCUAUUGCCUUCAACAGAUGGAUCAAAAUGAACUGGUCUGCUCAAACGUACAACAAGAUUUUCACCAAACGCACUUCACUGAUGAUCGUAAUUUGCAUUCCAGUUUUGGGAUAUUUGCCAGUUGUUCUAGGAUUUUUUGGCAUUACAAGCAAGUUCGACGCAAUGAGAUUUUAUAAGUAAUAUUUUAUUUUCUCUAGCUGAGAUAAAUUAUGACGAAACGGAAGAAAUUUGCUUCCUUUUCAUGCACUCUCAUUCACAAAUACUCGCAGCUUUAAUUUUUGGCGCGCCUUCAGCAUUGGUCGGUUUCUGCUACUUCAGAAUCUACAAAAGAGUGAUUGCCCGUAGCUCGACGAGCAUGAUCGAUUCAAAUGAGGUGUCGAAAAUGCUGAUGACGACGGCGAUAGUUUUCUAUGCUUGCUUCACGCCAGCUGCAUUGGGUUUACUCCUGACGGGUGGUUACACUAAUGAUUUGGAUGUACCCGCACUUCAUCACCUGUUUGCGUUUCCACCGACCCUACACCAAUUCAGCGCAGCGACGGUGGCGCCACCGUCUCUCGGCUUGAACUAACGCUGGGGAGAUCAUUUUGAUGCGUGAUUUAUCCUAAAUUCCUAAA